GACGAACGCUGGCGGCGUGCUUAACACAUGCAAGUCGAACGGGAUUUAGUAGACAGAAGCCUCGGCUAAAGAUUACUAAUGAGAGUGGCGAACGGGUGAGUAACGCGUGAGCAACCUGCCUAUGACAGUGGGAUAGCCUCGGGAAACCGGGAUUAAUACCGCAUAAAAUCGUAGAAACACAUGUUUUAACGGUCAAAGAUUUAUCGGUCAUAGAUGGGCUCGCGUCUGAUUAGCUAGUUGGUGAGAUAACAGCCCACCAAGGCGACGAUCAGUAGCCGGUCUGAGAGGAUGAACGGGCACCUUGGAACUGAGACCCGGUCCAAACUCCUACGGGAGGCAGCAGUGGGGAAUAUUCAACAAUGGGGGAAACCCUGAUGCAGCGACGCCGCGUGAACGAAGAAGGUAUUCGUAUCGUAAAGUUCUGUCCUAUGGGAAGAUAAUGACAGUACCAUAGAAGAAAGCUCCGGCUAAAUACGUG
rnacentral:rRNA from 1 species